rnacentral:rRNA from 1 species
UGGCGAACGGGUGAGUAACACGUGGGUAACCUGCCCAUCAGAAGGGGAUAACACUUGGAAACAGGUGCUAAUACCGUAUAACACUAUUUUCCGCAUGGAAGGAAGUUGAAAGGCGCUUUUGCGUCACUGAUGGAUGGACCCGCGGUGCAUUAGCUAGUUGGUGAGGUAACGGCUCACCAAGGCAACGAUGCAUAGCCGACCUGAGAGGGUGAUCGGCCACACUGGGACUGAGACACGGCCCAGACUCCUACGGGAGGCAGCAGUAGGGAAUCUUCGGCAAUGGACGAAAGUCUGACCGAGCAAACGCCGCGUGAGUGAAGAAGGUUUUCGGAUCGUAAAAACUUCUGU